CAGGGAGGCUGGUGAAUAAUUCAAGGAGACACAGAUCCUGCCUUUUCUGGAUGCAAGACGAAGACCAGUAUGUUCAUGAAUAUCAAUCACAGUGCUUACAAGACUUUAGAGCUGCAGUGACAUAGGAGACAGAUUCUACUGUCAAGUUCAGCCUCAUUUUAAGUUUCUAGCCCACAUGACCACAGAAGGAAACAAUUCCUUAGACUGGACAAAGGUAUGAACAAAGCAUUCUGGUUGGUCCAUAUGUGUAAGUCACCGUGGGUUGACAGGGGCUUCAUUCUGGCAGCAGCAAGCACCAGCAGCUACUCUCAAAAAUCAGAAGCUGGACUGUUACUACGACCUCUUUGGAUCUCCUCAAUAGGUGUCACACCUCCAGGACCAGAUGCAGUCCAACCCUAUGUGUUACAGCUCAGAAGGAGGAAAAAAAGUUUUCAAUUCACAAAAGACAGAACAAUUUUAUUGGCAAUUAAAUUUAAUUUCUUAAGAGUAAGUUGUGUAUAUGUUUCAGGCAAAGUACCAAUGUUUUCCAACACUGGAAGAGUUUGGAGAUGGGGAGAGAAUAUAAAGGUUUUUUCCCAUUUAAACCAUAUUCUUUCUGUAAAAUAAGGGCUAUCUACAUUCUAGAGCCCCUCUAAGCUGCCUAGUAAACUAUUCAAUAUAUAAAGACAAAUUGCUGCUUUCUGCUUACACCUGUAAAAAGGGAUUAGCAGUAUAGCAAAACAAAGAAAAUUUUUAAAUAUAUUGAGGGGAAAAUGCUGCAUGAGUAUUACUUUGAAUGUAAACGAGAAAGUGAGUAAAAGCCAGGUGAAUAGAAAUGCAAAAAAAUGUUUUAAAAAGUUAAAAGCUUGUAAACCAAUGCAAAAAAAAAUAGGUACUGUCAAAUGAAGACUGAAAAAGUUCAGGUAACAAUUAUUGUGAUCAGGAAUUGCUAUUGUUUCUAAUACAGAUAACUGCGUUAGUACCAUGAGAUUUGCAGUAUUUAUUUCUUAACAUAUGACUGCUGCAGUUUCAGCUUUUGCUCUGCAGCUGUCCCGGAUAGUGUCUCAUACAGGCUGCCUUUGUUUUAGAUAUUGGGUACACAGCACAAAGUCAAAACAAGCUCCUGGGCUUUCAGACUAACCCAGCCUAGUGUAACUAACACAGCUGCAUUUGCCUAUGAGCUGCUUAACUGGUUAUGCAGGCUUUACAAUGGCUCACAUAAUAAAACCCUAAUGUUUAAAUGGUAAAUAUAUUUCAUUUUUACAACAUACAUAUUAUUUACAUGUUGUACAACACUAAAAAAACUGGGGAACUUCUAACACGCUGUCUUAAAUGCAAUUCUUUAAGAUAUUUGCAGAAAUACCAGUUUUGUAAACUUCUAGGCACCAGCAGUUAUGUUUUUAUUGAAGUACAAAGAAAAUGACUGUUUAUAACUGGAACACUAUAACAAAAUAAAUUUUGUGUUGAACUUAGGUAAGCAGUAGUUUAAAUAGUUUUGAUUUUUGCUUUUCAUCCUAAAGCUUCCACCAUAUAUCUAGUGAGGGAUGCUCACAAAAAAGAGGCCUAAAACAUUAUUGCUAUCUGUAAACUUUGUAAUUCACAUUAAAAGGGUUUUCAAAGCAGUGACCUACUUAAAUGCUUUUUGUGUCUUGAAUUUUAA